rfam:Gemmatimonadetes bacterium SCN 70-22 ABS52_C0006, whole genome shotgun sequence.
UCCAGGUCCCGGAGGGCGUAAGCGCGCCAACCCCGUGAGGACCCCGAAGGUAGCAGCGGUACGCGAUGUCUCGCGUUGCUUCGUCAGACCUGGAGUA